rnacentral:rRNA from 1 species
GUUGUAUAGUCAAGUAAUUAAGUGCAUGUGGUGGAUGCCUUGGCAGUCAGAGGCGAUGAAAGACGUGAUAGCCUGCGAAAAGCUCCGGGGAGGCGGCAAAUAUCCUUUGAUCCGGAGAUGUCUGAAUGGGGGAACCCACCUACUUUAAGGUAGGUAUUGCAACAUGAAUACAUAGUGUUGCAAGGCGAACGAGGGGAAGUGAAACAUCUCAGUACCCUUAGGAAAAGAAAUCAAUUGAGAUUCCCUCAGUAGCGGCGAGCGAACGGGGAUCAGCCCAUUAAGUUAUGUGUGUUUUAGUGGAACGCUCUGGGAAGUGCGAACGUAGAGUGUGAUAUUCCCGUACACGAAAGGGCACACAUAAUGAUGACGAGUAGGGCGAGGCACGUGAAACCUUGUCUGAAUAUGGGGGGACCAUCCUCCAAGGCUAAAUACUCCUGACUGACCGAUAGUGAACCAGUACCGUGAGGGAAAGGCGAAAAGAACCCCUGUGAGGGGAGUGAAAUAGAUCCUGAAACCGCAUGCAUACAAGCAGUGGGAGCACCUUCGUGGUGUGACUGCGUACCUUUUGUAUAAUGGGUCAGCGACUUAUAUUCAGUAGCAAGGUUAACCGUAUAGGGGAGCCGUAGAGAAAUCGAGUCUUAAUAGGGCGUUUAGUUGCUGGGUAUAGACCCGAAACCAGGCGAUCUAUCCAUGAGCAGGUUGAAGGUUGGGUAACACUAACUGGAGGACCGAACCCACUGUCGUUGAAAAGCCAGGGGAUGACUUGUGGAUAGGGGUGAAAGGCUAAUCAAGCCUGGUGAUAGCUGGUUCUCCCCGAAAGCUAUUUAGGUAGCGCCUCGGACGAAUACCAUAGGGGGUAGAGCACUGUUUCGGCUAGGGGGUCAUCCCGACUUACCAAACCGAUGCAAACUCCGAAUACCUAUGAGUACUAUCCGGGAGACAGACUGCGGGUGCUAACGUCCGUAGUCAAGAGGAAAACAAUCCAGACCGCCAGCUAAGGCCCCAAAAUCAUAGUUAAGUGGGAAACGAUGUGGGAAGGCAUAGACAGCUAGGAGGUUGGCUUAGAAGCAGCCACCCUUUAAAGAAAGCGUAAUAGCUCACUAGUCGAGUCGGCCUGCGCGGAAGAUGUAACGGGGCUAAAACUAUGUGCCGAAGCUGCGGAU